UGGGGAAUUUUGGACAAUGGGCGAAAGCCUGAUCCAGCAAUGCCGCAUGUGUGAAGAAGGCCUUCGGGUUGUAAAGCACUUUUGUCCGGAAAGAAAUCCUUGGCUCUAAUACAGUCGGGGGAUGACGGUACCGGAAGAAUAAGCACCGGCUAACUACGUGCCAGCAGCCGCGGUAAUACGUAGGGUGCAAGCGUUAAUCGGAAUUACUGGGCGUAAAGCGUGCGCAGGCGGUUUGCUAAGACCGAUGUGAAAUCCCCGGGCUCAACCUGGGAACUGCAUUGGUGACUGGCAGGCUAGAGUAUGGCAGAGGGGGGUAGAAUUCCACGUGUAGCAGUGAAAUGCGUAGAGAUGUGGAGGAAUACCGAUGGCGAAGGCAGCCCCCUGGGCCAAUACUGACGCUCAUGCACGAAAGCGUGGGGAGCAAANCAGGAUUAGAUACCCUGGUAGUCCACGCUCUAAACGAUGCCAACUAGUUGUUGGGGAUUCAUUUCCUUAGUAACGUAGCUAACGCGUGAAGUUGACCGCCUGGGGAGUACGGUCGCAAGAUUAAAACUCAAAUGAAUUGACGGGGUCAUAGCU
rnacentral:rRNA from 1 species